GUUCAGACCCACAAAAGCUUGAUCGUCUAAAGUUUAUUUGUGGUAAAAAUCUAAUAAUUAAAUCAAAAUAACAGCUGCAUCAUUUAUUAUCAAGACUUUAUAGCAUUUAGCCUCAGUGUGUGCAGGUUUUUAAUGAUUUGUCCGCUCCCACUCCCUCAACCAAUUACUUCAUUGCUGUUUGCUUGGUCUCACCACUACCAUCUGUGUUUCAGAUCAACCAGGGCAGUUCUAAUUACAGUCACUGGCACGAGCCUACGGAUAAUGACCACGUUGCUAUGAUCAGCGGGAUUAUGCCAGCGUAUGUCAGCUUGGACUUGAGCUUUUGUGCACAACUUGGACGAUCAGUGAGGAGACGAGAGCAUCUCUUUACCUCUGCACAGGUAAACACGUUUAAAGCAAGUGUUUAUUUUCAUUAUUAUUGCCACCGUUGACAGGAGCAGCUCUCCUCAGAUAAUAGAGAUAUUCAGUUGUUUCACUGCAAACUGUGCAAAGCUGGCCUGUCCGACAGGGCUGCCCGCAGAAAAUUUUCACAAGGGGGUCCAUGCAGAUGGGGCCCAAUAAAGAUUUUGGGGUGGCACACCUGUGUUAACUCUGUGGUAACUGUGGGAGGGUUAGCUUGUAGCUUUGCGUUGAAUCGCUCCUUUACUCUUUUUAAUUUUAAACAGUCUAUGCAUUGAACAUAUAGCAAUUUGAAAAAAAAAACUAACAUUUCAGAAAAAAAAGACAAAAUUUCAAACGGUUAGUGUUCCAAAUUUAUUGCUUUAGAAUUUUAAAACUGUUUCAAAAAUAUCGGAAAAAAACUAUUUUAUUUGUAAAUUUUAAAAUAGUGAGCCUCACUGACACAUACUUAUUAAACAAUUUAUUGAAAUAAAAAUGUAUUAAAGGGAUUGUUGAGCCAGUUUGUACUAAAAUGACCCUUUACAGGGUUGAUGAAAGGUCACUCAGCCCAUAUCGCCCCCUGUAGCCAAAAAACUGCAUUUGCUGGCUGAUGUGCGCUGCAGUCUGCUUCCAGCAUGUUUCCUGCAUGUUUUAGAUCAUGAACACAGCUGAUUUGUUUAUUUAGUGAUGAAUCACUCCUGUAGACACUAAGAAAGGCUUGGGAGACAUUUCAGCUGUUAGAUUAAGGUUUUAAAAAGACAACAAUGAGAUGGGUUUUGCUUUUGGUUCUACAAACGGACACUAGGGGGUGCUAAAGGCAAGCAAAAACUGCCUAGUUCCCUUAUAAGAGGAAUUUAUUUAUUCUCUUUAACAGUUAUGUUUUGAUUAAAGCAGAUGAAGGUAUGGUUUGUGUGAACAUGACUGUGCAGUUAUUGGGGGGUGGUCUUCCCGAGAGGGGGCAACAAUUUUCCAGGGGUGACCAUGGCCCCCUGCUGGUCACCCUUUGGGGAUACCACUGAAGAUAUCCGUAAAUAAUCACAACUUUAAAAUUCACAAUAAACGGUUUAAAGCCUUUGAGCAGCUGAAAGGCUUUCUAACACUAAACACUAAAUCACGUGACUUGUCAUGUUCCAAACAGGUCUAAAGUGAUACAUUGUGGUAAGUUGUCCUUUGUUGAAUGCUGCUGAGAUUAUAGUGAUUAAUCUGCAGUCUCAUUGCUUCUGUUUGCUCCAAUCUCUGCAGAAAUAUAAUCUGUGACCACUCUGACUCAUUUGGUUUUGAUUUAUCAGGUAAUUGGUAGAGAACAUUUUCAGAUCCUGUUGGUUAUUGAGUAAUUUCACACUUCUUCACCAUGUGCACCCAUGGGCGUUGCUCUGUAAUAAAUACUGGAUGUAAAAAUGUCAGCACUUCUUGGCGCUCGGAUGUUAGUUGAGACUGGAGCAAAACAGUCAGAGCUCGUGCUGUUUUUACUCCACACGGAUCCGGUACCUGGAACGUAGGCCGCCUCAGCUUCAGAGCAGCAGCCUAUGCAGCUGUGACACUCGUUCGUGUCUACUAAAGUGUGGUCGCAGUCUGACGCAAAGAAUCAUCCGUGGUCUGGCUUCAGUUCCUCGUGCAAAAGUUUUGAUCAGCAGUUUUUCUCCUCCAGCUGUGUGUUCCCGUCUUGCAUCCCCAGAGUGUUGUUACAGGGCAGCUUAAAAAAAAAUCCAUGUUAUUCCCUUAGAAGGUCAGAGAAAUAAAAGUUUUUGAGAGUGAAUCUCUGUUCUGGUUGUUUGAAUGUUGGCCCGUGAGCAGGUUCUGGAAGUUUACGCAGCUGAGCAAAGGACUCAACAACCUCUCUUCUGCUUCACCACUCCCUGGGAAAGUACAGACGCUGCACACACAAGCGUGUGAAUUUGUGAAGCUGUCAUGAUCAAAGGAAUGAGCCACUGCUCAGUUCUGUCAGAGAGCUGAUUGUGAAAUGAAGUCAAGCUUCCUACAAGUCAGAAGAGAGUUGCUGUUUUACAAUCCCGCUGCAGCAUCUGGAUUCCCUGUUAGCCUCUAUGUGGGCUAUCCUGGAAAUUCCUCACGCCAGCAUGUUCCUAUAGUUAACUAGAGCUAAAUAUGUUGGCUAUAUGAUGAAGUAUGGGAUUUGUGGAAAGCAUUUCUCCUGAGGGGAAUAAAAAGUUUCCAGGAAUAGACUUGCUGUAGUGAUAAAAUGAGCCAGUCUGUAAGCAGAAGCAGUCAGAUGAGUGAGUGUGCACCAGGCUGCAAACCAACUACCAUCUAAAAACAGGCCUGAGGUCUGCAACACCUCCUCCCAUCUACUUCCCUAAAAUCCGCUUUGUGCUGACAGCGACAACUGCCAUGAGACCAGAUGAUCAGAUUAGAUGUUACCAGAAAAUCAUGCACUUUGAGUCAGUUUUUAUUUUUUUACGACGGGUUAACCCGAAUGUGCGACUUUGAGUAAUCAACAGCCAGUGGGGUGAAGGGAUUCUGGGAAAGAGUCGAUCGGUGUAACAGUAGCAAGUUGAGUCAUCAAGCAACGUCAGCCAGAAACGUAGCCAGCAGGAGGAAAUUGGAUAAGAAAAUCAUGUUUUAUUGCUUUUUAAUAUUGCUGAUAUUAAAAAUAAUGUUGAUUCUCAUAUGUUGUGUCUUUAUAAGCAUUUCAGGAAAAAAUGUAAACAAAAUACUUCUGUUGGAUAUAAUUUUUCAACUCACUGGAUGAAAAUGUUGAGUUUUUUUUAUGUUUUGUUUUUGAUUUUUCAAAAGACCCAAAUGCUAAAAUGCACAAAUCUCUAAAAAGCUUUGUAUGACAAAACGUCGUUGAAUAAAUAUAAUAAUAGUUUUUGUUGUUGCACUCUCAAUCACUUGGCCAUAAAAGCACAUAGUGAGGGCUGUCCACAGCUCAGUAGGGUCCAAAUCUGUUGUCACGUGUGAGGAUUAAACUACUUGCAGGCCACAAAAUUCUUAAUUCUUAAAGAAAUGCUAAAUAUUAUAAUUUACUUGUAAUUUUAUUUUUGCUCAAUAAAUGAAUCAAGUUUUAUUUGAUGAA